UAGGGAACAUUGCAAAAUGGGCGAAAGCCCGAUGCAGCAACGCCGCGUGGGCGAUGAAGGCCUUCGGGUCGUAAAGCCCUUUUUGAGGGGAUGAGGAAGGACAGUACCCUCAGAAUAAGCCUCGGCUAACUACGUGCCAGCAGCCGCGGUAAAACGUAGGAGGCGAGCGUUAUCCGGAUUUACUGGGCGUAAAGCGCGUGCAGGCGGAUUGGAGAGUUGGAUGUGAGAGCUCCCGGCUUAACUGGGAGAGGUCGUUCAAUACUUCCAGUCUUGAGUGCAGUAGAGGGAAGUGGGAUUCCGGGUGUAGUGGUGAAAUGCGUAGAUAUCCGGAGGAACACCAGUGGCGAAAGCGGCUUCCUGGACUGUAACUGACGCUCAGACGCGAAAGCUAGGGUAGCAAACG
rnacentral:rRNA from 1 species